rnacentral:rRNA from 1 species
CAAUAGCGUAUAUUAAAGUUGUUGCGGUUAAAAAGCUCGUAGUUGGAUUUCUGUUGAGGACGACCGGUCCGCCCUCUGGGUGAGUAUCUGGCUCGGCCUUGGCAUCUUCUUGGAGAACGUAACUGCACUUGACUGUGUGGUGCGGUAUCCAGGACUUUACUUGAGGAAAUUAGAGUGUUUCAAGCAGGCGUACGCCUUGAAUACAUUAGCAUGGAAUAAUGAGAUAGGACCUUGGUUCUAUUUUGUUGGUUUCUAACACUGAAGUAAUGAUUGAUAGGGAUAGUUGGGGGUGCUAGUAUUGGCCGGCCAGAGGUGAAAUUCUUGGAUUCGGUCAAGACUAACUUAUGCGAAAGCAUUCACCAAGGAUGUCUUCUUUAAUCAAGAACGAAAGUUGGGGGAUCGAAGACGAUUAGAUACCA